rnacentral:rRNA from 1 species
GUAGAUAUCACUAGGAAUACCGAAAGCGAAGGCGAUCUCCUGGAACAUUACUGACGCUAAGGCGUGAAAGCGUGGGGAGCAAACGGGAUUAGAUACCCCGGUAGUCCACGCCCUAAACGAUGUUCACUAGUCGUCGGGAUGCUAGUCAUCUCGGUGAUGCACUUAACAGAUUAAGUGAACCGCCUGGGGAGUACGGUCGCAAGAUUAAAACUCAAAGGAAUAGACGGGGACCCGCACAAGUGGUGGAGCAUGUGGUUUAAUUCGAAGAUACGCGAAGAACCUUACCUAGCCUUGACAUUGAUAGAAUACACCAGAGAUGGAGUAGUGCCUUUCGGGGAACUUGAAAACAGGUGCUGCACGGCUGUCGUCAGCUCGUGUCGUGAGAUGUUGGGUUAAGUCCCGCAACGAGCGCAACCCUCGUCCUUAGUUGCCAGCAGGUUAAGCUGGGCACUCUAAGGAGACUGCCUUCGUAAGGAGGAGGAAGGUGAGGACGACGUCAAGUCAUCAUGGCCCUUAUGGCUAGGGCUACACACGUGCUACAAUGGGGCGUACAGAGUGUUGCGAUACCGCGAGGUGGAGCUAAUCACUUAAAGCGUCUCUCAGUUCGGAUAGCAGUCUGCAACUCGACUGCUUGAAGCUGGAAUCACUAGUAAUCGUAGAUAAGCAAUGCUACGGUGAAUACGU